UCCCAGUUCGGACUGCAGCCUGCAACCCGGCUGCACGAAGCCGGAAUCGCUAGUAAUCGCAGAUCAGCAUGCUGCGGUGAAUACGUUCCCGGGUCUUGUACACACCGCCCGUCACACCAUGGGAGUCGGAAAUGCCCGAAGUCAGUGGCUCAACCGGAAGGAGGGAGCUGCCGAAGGCAGGUCCGGUGACUGGGGUGAAGUCGUAACAAGGUAGC
rnacentral:rRNA from 1 species